rnacentral:rRNA from 1 species
AACGAACGUUAGCGGCGCGCCUAACACAUGCAAGUCGGACGCGACUGGGGGCAACUCCAGUUGAGUGGCGCACGGGUGAGUAACACGUAGGUAAUCUCCCCUCGAGUGGUGGAUAACCUUCCGAAAGGAGGGCUAAUACAGCAUAAGACCACGGCCUCGAAAGAGGCUGAGAGCAAAACGGAGGAUCGCAAGACUUCGCGCUUGAGGAUGAGCCUGCGGCCCAUCAGGUAGUUGGCGGAGUAACAGCCCACCAAGCCUAAGACGGGUAGCUGGUAGGAGACGAGGGUCAGCCACACUGGAACUGGGGCACGGUCCAGACUCCGACGGGAGGCGGCAGUGGGGAAUCUUGCGCAAUGGACGAAGGUCUGACGCAGCGACGCCGCGUGGGUGAUGAAGGCCUUCGGGUUGUAAAGCCCUGUGGGGAGGGACGAAUAAGUUGCAGCUAAUACCUGCAGCGAUGACGGUACCUCCUUAGCAAGCACCGGCUAACUCUGUGCCAGCAGCCGCCGUAA